GAUUGAACGCUGGCGGCAUUGCCUUACACAUGCAAGUCGAACGGCAGCGACGGGGCAACCCUGGUGGCGAGUGGCGAACGGGUGAGUAAUACAUCGGAACGUGCCCCGUAGCGGGGGACAACCAGUCGAAGACUGGCUAAUACCGCAUACGCUCCACGGAGGAAAGCAGGGGAUCGCAAGACCUUGCACUAUGGGAGCGGCCGAUGCCCGAUUAGCUAGUUGGNGAGGUAAAGGCGUCACCAAGGCAACGAUCGGUAGCUGGUCUGAGAGGACGACCAGCCACACUGGGACUGAGACACGGCCCAGA
rnacentral:rRNA from 1 species